rnacentral:ribozyme from 12 species
UCUCACAAUGAACAUAUAGAUAAGGAUUGAUAAAACGAGCAAAGCCAUAAAUCUAGGUCAUCAUCACGCACGACUUUAAUUUGUUCACUUCUAGCCUUGGUUUAUUUCUCCUUUGAUUUUCGCUUUUCCUUCUUUGAUUUU